UCUAAAAUGGCAGAUUAGUGCAUUGGAUUUAAACCCCAAAAAUAAAGAUAUUCUUUUUUUAGAA
rnacentral:tRNA from 1 species